AUUGAACGCUGGCGGAAUGCUUUACACAUGCAAGUCGAACGGCAGCACGGGGGCAACCCUGGUGGCGAGUGUCGAACGGGUGAGUAAUACAUCGGAACGUGCCCGGUCGUGGGGGAUAACGUAGCGAAAGUUACGCUAAUACCGCAUACGAUCUGCGGAUGAAAGCGGGGGACCUUCGGGCCUCGCGCGAUCGGAGCGGCCGAUGUCAGAUUUGUUAGUUGGUGGGGUAAAGGCCUACCAAGCCGACGAUCUGUAGCUGGUCUGAGAGGACGACCAGCCACACUGGGACUGAGACACGGCCCAGACGCCUACGGGAGGCAGCAGUGGGGAAUUUUGGACAAUGGGCGCAAGCCUGAUCCAGCCAUUCCGCGUGCAGGACGAGGGCCUUCGGGUUGUAAACUGCUUUUGUAUGGAACGAAAAGGCUCUGGCUAAUACCUGGGGCUCAUGACGGUACCGUAAGAAUAAGCACCGGCUAACUACGUG
rnacentral:rRNA from 1 species